rnacentral:tRNA from 1 species
GGGAAGUUAGCUCAGUGGCAUAAGUGCCUGCCUUGCAAGCAGGCAGUCGUGAGUUCGAUCCCUCUUACCG